CAUGAGGUAUCAAUAUAAACUCCCCAGUUUAAAACAAAAAUAGGUGGAUGCCAAUAGUGGUCUUUAUCUCAACACUAGAAGAAAGGUCCUCAACUGGAAAAAAAUUUACAUUUUUGUAAGAAAAAAACAAUCCUUAUGUUUCUUUAUAAAUCUCACUACAUCUUCAAUAUGGUUUGGCUGUGCCCCCACCCAAAUCUCAACUUGAAUUGUAUCUCCCAGAAUUCCCAUGUGUUGUGAGGGGGACCCAAUGAAGGGUAAUUGAAUCAUGGGGCCGGUCUUUCCCAUGUUAUCCUCAUGAUAGUGGAUAAGUCUCAUGAGAUCUAGUGGAUUUAUCAGGGGUUUCUACUUUUGCUUCCUCCUCAUUCUCUCUUGCCAUGACCAUGUAAGAAGUGCCUUUCACCCUCUGCCUUCAUUGUGAGACCUUUCCCAGCCAUGUGGAACUAUAAAUCCAAUUCAUCCUCUUUCUUUUGUAAAUUGCCCAGUCUCAGGUAUGUCUUUAUCAGCAGUGUGAAAAUGGACUAAUACAGUAAAUUGGUAUGAGAAGUGGGGUGUUGCUGAAAAGAUAAUUGAAAAUGUGGAUGCAGCUUUGGAACUGGGUAAUAGGCAGAGGUUGAAACAGUUUGUAGGGCUCAGAAGAAGACAGGAAAAUGUGGGAAAGUUUGGAACUUCCUAGAGACUUGUUGAAUAUCUUUGCCCAAAAUGGUGAUAAUGAUAUGGACAAUAAAGUCCAGGAUGAAGUGGUCUCAGAUGGAAAUGAGGAACUUGCUGGGAACUAGAGCAAAGGUGACUCUUGUCAUGCUUUAGCAAAGAAAAUGGUGGCAUUUUGCCUCUGCCUUAGAGAUUUGUAGAACUUUGAACUUGUGAGAGAUGACUAAGGGUAUCCGGCAGAAGAAAUUUCUAAGCAGCAAAGCAUUCAAGAGGUGACUUGGGUGCUGUUAAAGGCAUUCCAUUUUACAAGGGAAGCAGAGGAUAAAAGUUUGGAAAAUUUGCAGCCUGACAAUGUGAUAGAAAAGAAAAUCCCAUUUUCUGAAAAGAAAUUUAAGCUGGCUGUAGAACUUUGCAUAAGUAACAAGGAGCUGAAUGUUAAUUUCCAAGACAAUGGGGAAAAUGUCCCUGGGGCAUGUCAGUGGUCUUCGUGGCAGCCCUUCUCAUCACAGGCCUAGAGGUUUAAGAGGAAGAAAUGGUUUCAUCGUCCGGGCCCAGGGUCCCUGUGCUGUGUGCAGCCUAGGGACUUGGUGUCCCGUGUCCUAGCCACUCCAGCUAUGACUAAAAGGGGCCAAGGUACAGCUCAGACCCUGGCUUCAGAGGGUGCAAACCCCAAGCCUUGGCAGGGUCCAUAUGGUGUUGAGCCUGUGGGUGCACAGAAGUCAAGAACUGAUGUUUGGGAACCUCAGACUAGAUUUCAGAACAUGUAUGAAAACACCUGGAUGCCCAGGCAAAAGUUUCCUGAAGGGACUGGGCCCUCAUGCAGAACCUCUGCUAGAGCAGUGCUGAAGGGAAAUGUGGGGUGAGAGACCCCACACAGAGUCCCUACUGGGGCACUGCCUAGUGGAACUGUGAGAAGAGGGCCACCAUCCUCCAGAUCCCAGAAUGGUAGAUUCACCAACAGCUUGCACUGUGUGCCUGGAAAAGCCUCAGACACUCAAUGCCAGCCUAUGAAAGCCACAGGUAGGGUGGCCGUACCUUGCAAAGCCACAGGGAUGGAGCUGCCCAAGACCAUGGGAACCCACCUCUUGCAUCAGUGUGACAUGGAGCCAAAGGAGGUCAUUUUGGAACUUUAAGAUUUGACUGCCCUGCUGGAUUUUGGACUUGCAUGGGGCCUGUAGCCCCUUUCUUUUGGCUAAUUUUUUUUUUUUCAUUUGGAACAGCUGUAUUUACCCAAUGUCUGUACCUCCAUUGUAUCUAGGAAGUAACUAACUUGCCUUUGAUUUUACAGGCUCAUAGCCUGAAGGGACAUGUCUUUUCUCAGAUGAGAUGUUGGACUCUGGACUUUUAAGUUAAUGCUGAAAUGAGUUAAGACUUUGGGGGACUGUUGGAAAGGCAUGAUUGGUUUUGAAAUGAGAGGACAUGAGAUUUGGGAGGGGCCAGGGUGGAAUUAUAUGGUUUGGCUGUGCCUCCACCCAAAUCUCAACUUGAAUUAUAUCUCCCAGAAGUCCCACAGGUUGUGGGAGGGACACAGUGGGAGGUAAUUGAAUCAUGGGGGCUAGUCUUUCCCAUGCUAUUCUCAUGAUAGUGAAUAAGUCUCAUGAGAUGUGAUGGGUCUAUGAGCGGUUUCUGCUUUUGCUUCUUCCUCAUUCUCUCUUGCCACCACCAUAUAAUAAGUGUCUUUAACCCUCUGCCAUGAUUGUGAUAACUUCCCCAGCCAUGUGGAACUGUAAGUCCAAUUAAUCUGUUUUCUUUUGUAAAUAGCCCAGUCUUGGGUAUGUCUUUAUCAGCAGUGUGAAAACAAACUAAUACAAUCUUACUGCCUGACUAGCCUAACUCUUAGUAACCUUAAUUCCUAGUAAAAAACCUAAUAUUGUUUAACAUAAAAUGUGUGAAAGAAAAAUAAAUAUUGGGUCCCCCAAAUUACUAAACUAAAGAGGAAAGUCGAGUUGGGAACUGCUUAGGGCUAACCUGCCUCCCAUUCCAUUCAAGGUCAACCCUCUGCUCACUGAGAUAAAUGCAUAUCUGACUGCCUCCUGAUAUGGUUUGGCUAUGUCCCUACCCAAAUCUCAUUUUGAAUUGUAGCUCUCAUAAUUCCCACAUGUUGUAGGAGGAAUGCAGUGGGAGAUAAUUGUAUCAUGGGGGUGGUUUCCCCCAUAUUUUUCUUGUGGUAAUGAAUAAGUCUCCUGAGAGCUGAUGUUUGUAUAACAGGAAACCCUUUUCACUUGGUUCUCAUUUUCUCCUUUGUCUGCUACCAUGUAAGACAUGUCUUUGGCCUUUUGCCAUGAUUGUGAGGCCUCUCCAGCCACGUGGAACUGUGAGCCCAUUAAAACUCUUUUUAUUUAUAAAUUACCCAGUCUCGGAUAUGUCUGUAUCAGUAGUGUGAGAACGAACUAAUACACCUCCUUUGGAGAGGCUAAUCAGAAUCUCAAAAGAAUGCAACUAUUUGUCUCUUAUCUAACUAUGACCUGUAAGUCCCCACUCCACUUCGAAUCAUCCCACAUUUGCUUUGAGUUGUCCCACCUUUCUGGACCCAACAAAUGUUCAUCUUACAUAUGUUGAUUGAUAUCUCAUGUCUCUCUAAAAUGUGUAAAACCAAGCUGUGCUCUGAUCACCUUGGGCAGAUGUCAUCAGGACCUCCUGAGAUUGUGUCAGGGGUGCGCAUCCUCAACCUUGGCAAAUAAACUUUCUAAAUUAACUGAGACCUGUCUCAGAUAUUCAGGGGUCAUACAUGACUUUAAGAUUUCAAAUUAUUGGAGAAAAUUUUGAGACUAAAGUUACUAAAUUAAUCUUACCAAUGAUUACUACAGUCAUGUGAACUGAAGUCUGUGAGCUAGCUUCUAUUAAUUUGAUAAACACUUUUCUUUUAGCCAGUUAAUUAGAGUUCUCUCAUAUGAUUAAUAGAUGAACAUCAUUUCCACAACACACAUAUAACAUAUUGACAUAGAAGACCCAGACAGAGGCAGAUCUUAUAGAUUUAAAAUAUUUCGUUUGCCUAUUUUCAAACAUGUUCUAGCUCCUGCUACAGACUAUUAAUCUCUUGAUUAUCUGUCCCAUGUCCUAAACAAUUGUUAACUAGGCAACUCUAAAUUUGCAUCUCCAAAGACAUGACUUAGGUUUAAAAAAAGGUAGAAAACGUACAUCUCAAAGGCAUAGACUUAGAUGUAAACAAAAGUAAGGUCUAUUAUGUAAACUUUAAAACAUUGUUUAUUCCCUAGUUAAAAUUUCUAGUGGUUUAGGUGCAGAGACACAGCUGCUUUACGAAAAAAAAAAAAAAAAAAAAAAGAUUUUAUUUAAAGAUGAAAAUUUUCCAUACAAAGAGAUUUAUUUAAAUGAUUUAGUUUUAUAGAUGGUCUUUUCAACUUAGCUUUACUAGAUUACUAACUUUAGGGUGAAGCCCUUUAAGAAACAGGGCCAACAAAGCAUGCAGGUUUUAGGGCUUGCAUAAUGACGUUUUUAUCUAAAUGUUCAAAUAAAUGAGUUGUUCCUCGUAGUGUAGCAGAACGAGCCACAGACAAAACCUCUCAGACACCGAGUUGUAGAAGGAAGGGCUUUAUUCAGCUGGGAGCAUCAGCAAGCUACUGCCUUAAAAUCCGAGCUCCCUGAGUGCACAAUUUAUGUCCCUUUUAAGGGCUCACAACACUAAAGAUUUCACAUGAAAGGGUCGUGAUUGAUUUGAGCAAGCAAGGGGUAGUGACAGGGGCUGCAUGUACUGGUGGUCAGAGUGAAACAGAGCAGAGCAGGGAGUUUCACAAUGUUCUUCCACACAAUGCCUGAAAUCUAUGGGUAACAUUGGGUUCUAAGUCAUGAGUUGAUUUUUAACUACUAUGUUUAGGCGAGGCAGGCCCAGGCCUGGUUUUGGGCCUGGCACUGGGCUGACUGUCUUUGAUUUCACUUCCUUGUUUUUUUUUUUCUUAAAACAGAUACUGAGUAUAAAACAAUAUAAAACAAUAUGAGAGAGUCUCUCUCUUCCCUCAGUAGUAAUGGCCAUUUUCUAUAAAUUUUGCUCAGCCAUCCCUAACAUUGUCAUUCUCAUCUGCCACUACACACACCAAGGUCAAAUUUUGUAACAGUACAAAAUAAUCUCUAGUACCCACCAAAGCCAAAGAGAUCAGGUAAUGCAAUAUAAGAAAGCAGAACUUUAGACCUGAAAGAAAUCUGCCAUGACACUUGAAACUCCACAAAGAAAGCAGAAUACUCUCUCUUUGUUAAGGGGUCUGAUUCAUUAGAAGCCUGUCAGGCCUCUGAGCCCAAGCCAAGCCAUCACAUCCCCUGUGUCUUGCACCUAUACGCCCAGAUGGCCUGAAGUAACUGAAGAAUCACAAAAGAAGUGAAUAUGCCCUGCCCCACCUUAACUGAUGACAUUCCACCACAAAAGAAGUGUAAAUGGCCGGUCCUUGCCUUAAGUGAUGACAUUACCUUGUGAAAGUCCUUUUCCUGGCUCAUCCUGGCUCAAAAAGCACCCCCACUGAGCACCUUGCGACCCCGACUCCUGCCCGCCAGAGAACAAACCCCCUUUGACUGUAAUUUUCCGUUACCUACCCAAAUCCUAUAAAACAGCCCCACCCUUAUCUCCCUUCACUGACUCUCUUUUCGGACUCAGCCCGCCUGCACCCAGGUGAAAUAAACAGCCUUGUUGCUCACACAAAGCCUGUUUGGUGGUCUCUUCACACGGACGCGCAUGAAAUUUGGUCCCAGUCAGGCCUCUGAGCCCAAGCCAAGCCAUCGCAUGCCCUGUGACUUGCACAUGUAUGCCCAGAUGGCCUGAAGUAACUGAAGAAUCACAAAAGAAGUGAAUGUGCCCUGCCCCGCCUUAACUGAUGACAUUCCACCACAAAAGAAGUGAAAAAGGCCGGUCCUUGCCUUAAGUGAUGACAUUACCUUGUGAAAGUCCUUUUCCUGGCUCAUCCUGGCUCAAAAAGCACCCCCACUGAGCACCUUGCGACCCCCACUCCUGCCUGCCAGAGAACAAACCCCCUUUGACUGUAAUUUUCCUUUACCUACCCAAAUCCUAUAAAACAGCCCCACCCUUAUCUCCCUUCACUGACUCUCUUUUCGGACUCAGCCCGCCUGCACCCAGGUGAAAUAAACAGCCUUGUUGCUCACACAAAGCCUGUUUGGUGGUCUCUUCACACGGACAUGCAUUAAAUUUGGUGCCGUGACUCAGAUCAGGGGACCUCCCUUGGGAAAUCAAUCCCCUGUCCUCCUGCUCUUUGCUCCGUGAGAAAGAUCCACCUACGACCUCAGGUCCUCAGACCAACCAGCCCAAGAAACAUCUCACCAAUUUCAAAUCCAGUAAGCCGCCUCUUUUUACUCUCUUCUCCAACCUCCCUCACUAUCCCUCAGCCUCUUUCUCCUUUCAAUCUUGGUGCCACACUUCAAUCUCUCCCUUCUUUUAAUUUCAAUUCCUUUCAUUUUCUGGUAGAGACAAAGGAGACAUGUUUUAUCCCUGGACCCAAAACUCUGGCGCCGGUCACGGACUAGGGAAGGCAGCUUUCCCUUGGUGUUUAAUCAUUUCAGGGACACCUCUCUGAUUAUUUACCCAGGUUUCAGAGGUGUCAGACCACGCAGGGAUGCCUGCCUUGGUCCUUCACCCUUAGUGGCAAGUCCUGCUUUUCUGGGGAAGGGGCAAGUACCCCAACCCCUUCUCUCCGUGUCUCUACCCCUUCUCUGCCUUUCUGGGGGGCAAGAAACCCCCAACCCUUUCUCCUUCACCCUGAGUGGCAAGUCCCACUUUUCUAGAGGAGGGGAAAGUACCCCAACCUCAUAUCUCUGCACCUCAAUCCCUUAUUUCCACACCCCAACCUAUUAUCUCUGUGCCCCAAUCCCUUAUUUCCAUGCCCCAACCUCUUAUCUCUGCACCACAAUCCCUUAUUUCCAUGCCCCGACAUCUUAUGUCUCCACGCCCUGACCUCGUAUCUCUGCACCCCGACCCCUUUCCUGCUUUUCUGGAGGGUAAGAACCCCUGAACCGCUUCCCUCCGUGUCUCUACUCUCCCUUUUCUUUAAACUUGCCUCCUUCACUAUAGGCAACCUUCCACCCUCCAUUCCUCCUUCUUCUCUCUUAGCCUGUGUUCUCAAAAACUUAAAACCUCUUCAACUCACACCUGACCUAAAACCUAAAUGCCUUAUUUUCUUCUGCAAUGCCGCUUGACCCCAAUACAAACUCAACAGUAGUUCCAAAUAGCCGGAAAACAGCACUUUCAAUUUUUCCAUCCUGCAAGAUCUAAAUAAUUCUUGUCGUAAAAUGGGCAAACGGUCUGAGGUGCCUGACGUCCAGGCAUUCUUUUACACAUCGGUCCCUCCCCAGUCUCUGUGCCCAAUGCAACUCAUCCCAAAUCUUCCUUCUUUCCCUCCCACCUGUCCCCUCAGUCCCAACCCCAAGCAUCACUGAGUCUUUCUAAUCUUCCUUUUCUACAGACCCAUCUGACCUCUCCCCUCCUCCCCAGGCUGCUCCUCACCAGGCCGAGCUAGGUCCCAAGUCUUCCUCAGCCUCCGCUCCUCCACCCUAUAAUCCUUUUAUCACCUCCUCUCCUCACACCCAGUCCGGUCCGGCUUACAGUUUCAUUCCGUGACUAGCCCUCCCCCACCUGCCAGCAAUUUACUCUUAAAAAGGUGGCUGGAGCUAAAGGCAUAGUCAAGGUUAUUGCUCCUUUUUCUUUAUCCCAAAUCAGAUAGCGUUUAGGCUCUUUAUCAAUAUAAAAAUCCAGCCCAGUUCAUAACUUGUUUGGCAGCAACCCUGAGACACUUUACAGCCCUAGACCCUAAAAGGUCAAAAGGCCGUCUUAUUCUCAAAAUACAUUUUAUUACCCAAUCUGCUCCUGACAUUAAAUAAAACUCCAAAAAUUAAAUUCCAGCCCUCAAACCCCACAACAGGAUUUAAUUAACCUCGCCUUCAAGGUGUACAAUAAUAGAAAAAAGUUGCAAUUCCUUGCCUCCACUGUGAGACAAACCCCAACCACAUCUCUAGCACACAAGAACUUCCAAAUGCCUGAACCGCAGCGGCCAGGCGUUCCUCCAGUACCGCCUCCCCCAGGAGCUUGCUACAAGUGCCAGAAAUCUGGCCACCAGGCCAAGGAAUGCCUGCAGCCCAGGAUUCCUCCUAAGCCGCGUCCCAUCUGUGCGAGACCCCACUGGAAAUCGGACUGUCCAACUCACCUGGCAGCCACUCCCAGAGCCCCUGGAACUCUGGCCCAAGGCUCUCUGACUCCUUCCCAGAUCUUCUUGGCUUAGCGGCUGAAGACUGACGCUGCCCAGUCGCCUCGGAAGCCCCCCUACAUCAUGGACGCUGAGCUUCAGAUAACUCUCACAGUGGAAGUUUGGUCCAGAGAGCUGCCUUAGACUCCCCAGUAAAUCUAUUCAAACAGCUGCCUCUGUUACCUUGACUCGUCUCAGAUGUCAUCGACCUGAGAUGGCUCCUGGCGCAAGGAAGGGCAUUCCAGAGUCAACCUAAAAAUCAAGUUCAGGCCAUGAUGGAAGAGACGGAGUUGGACAUGCCUCAUUAUUCCCUACUGCCUUUUGGAACUCAGGAAAAGCUGAUCAGCAUUAACAUCAACACAGACCUUAGUCUGAUAAGAAGCAUUUAUAAUCUAUUGUCUCUGAAACUUGCUAUUUGGUGGCUUCGUCUGCAUCAUAAAACUAUCUCCAAAAACCCUCAUUUUAACCUAGACAUUCUUUUCUAUUGAUAUAACUCUUUCAACCAAUUGCCAAUCAGAAAAGUUUUAAAUCUGUUUAUGACCUGGAAGCCCCCACUUUGAAUUGUUCCACACUUCCAGAUCAAGCCAAUGUAAAUCUUAUAUGCAUUGAUUGAUGCAUUAUGUCUCCCUAAAAUGUACAAAAAGCUAGCUGUACCCUGACCCCAUUGGGCACAUGUCAUCAGGACCUCCUGAGGCUGUUUCACAGGCAUGUCUUUAACCUUGGUAAAAUAAACUUUCUAAAUUAAGAACAACCUCAAAUAUUUUAUAUAUAUAUAUUUAGAGGGAGUCUUGAUCUCUUGAUCGAUCACCCAGUCUUGAGGGCAGUGGCGUGAUCACGGCUCACUGCAACAUCUGCCUUCAGGCUCAAGUGAUCCUUCUGCCUCAGCCUCCCAAGUAGCUGGGACUAUAGGCACAUGCCACCAUGCCUGGCUAAUUUUUGCAUUUUUUUGUAGAGAUGGGGUCUCAGUAUGUUGCCCAGGCUGGUCUCAAACUCCUAAGCUCAAGCAAUUUACCUGCUUGACCUUCCAAAGUGCUGGGAUUACAGAUGUGAGCCAUCAUGCCUGACCUUUCUCAGAUAUUUUAGGUUCACAAAUUGGAAACCAUGAAGGGAUUCUGAGUGGAGGUGCCCCUGACUUUAGACAAAUCUCCUAUCGGUGCUUCGUAUUAGGUUUAGCUACUUUUUUGGCUCAAACCAAUAGGACAAUUUGCAGACACCUGGGUGCUCCCCCUCACUACUCCAGAGAAUCCCUGAUCUCCCAAAAUUUGGUUGAGAUAUAAAGUUUAUUUUGUUGCACACCUUCUUUUCAAGACAUAUAGGAAACAGAUUAUCUAAGAAUGACCCCUUCACACACCUAUUUUGUUUUACGGUGCCUCUCCUUGCAAGUGGUUGUGUAAAUGAAAGAACAUGUCACAUCUUCUAAUAUUCCAGUUUAGUUAAACAUUACGUCUGUUCUUGUGCACAUUUUAAACUAACAGGGAAAUCACAUCAAGGAAAAUUCAGAGCCUAAAAGUUGACCUGCAACUAUAAAGUUUCUAAGUUCUCUGUCAAUCUCUCUGUUUUCUUUUCUUCCUGCUUUUUACGUCUCCUGUUAAUUUUCUAUUAGAUAAAAUCCACUGUUUAC
rnacentral:tRNA from 10 species